GACAGAGGAUGCAAGCGUUGUUCGGAUUCAUUGGGCGUAAAGGGUGCGUAGGCGGCGCGGUAAGUCGGGUGUGAAAUCUCGGAGCUUAACUCCGAAACUGCAUUCGAUACUGCCGUGCUUGAGGACUGGAGAGGAGACUGGAAUUUACGGUGUAGCGGUGAAAUGCGUAGAUAUCGUAAGGAAGACCAGUGGCGAAGGCGGGUCUCUGGACAGUUCCUGACGCUGAGGCACGAAGGCCAGGGGAGCAAACGGG
rnacentral:rRNA from 1 species